GAGGGCGUAGUGUAAUGGUAACGCGGCGGUCUCCAAAACCGCAGAUAGUGGUUCGAUUCCACUCGCCUUUGCCA
rnacentral:tRNA from 1 species